CUSBDNUNBASSCHCKSUMRGNCCUUGCAGGUCGACGAUUCACGGAUCCAGAGUUUGAUCCUGGCUCAGGACGAACGCUGGCGGCGUGCCUAACACAUGCAAGUCGAGCGAUGAAGCUUCCUUCGGGAAGUGGAUUAGCGGCGGACGGGUGAGUAACACGUGGGUAACCUGCCUCAAAGAAGGGGAUAGCCCUCCGAAAGGAGGAUUAAUACCGUAUAACAUUGGAUCUUCGCAUGAAGGACCAAUCAAAGGAGUAAUCCGCUUUGAGAUGGACCCGCGGCCCAUUAGCUAGUUGGUGAGGUAACAGCUCACCAAGGCCACGAUGGGUAGCCGACCUGAGAGGGUGAUCGGCCACAUUGGAACUGAGACACGGUCCAGACUCCUACGGGAGGCAGCAGUGGGGAAUAUUGCGCAAUGGGGGAAACCCUGACGCAGCAACGCCGCGUGGGUGAUGAAGGUCUUCGGAUUGUAAAACCCUGUUUUCUGGGACGAUAAUGACGGUACCAGAGGAGGAAGCCACGGCUAACUACGUGCCAGCAGCCGCGGUAAUACGUAGGUGGCGAGCGUUGUCCGGAUUUACUGGGCGUAAAGGGUGCGUAGGCGGACUUUUAAGUGAGAUGUGAAAUACCCGGGCUUAACUUGGGUGCUGCAUUUCAAACUGGAAGUCUAGAGUGCAGGAGAGGAAAGUGGAAUUCCUAGUGUAGCGGUGAAAUGCGUAGAGAUUAGGAAGAACACCAGUGGCGAAGGCGACUUUCUGGACUGUAACUGACGCUGAGGCACGAAAGCAUGGGUAGCAAACAGGAUUAGAUACCCUGGUAGUCCAUGCCGUAAACGAUGAAUACUAGGUGUAGGGGGUGUCCAGCCUUCUGUGCCGCAGUUAACACAAUAAGUAUUCCGCCUGGGGAGUACGAUCGCAAGAUUAAAACUCAAAGGAAUUGACGGGGGCCCGCACAAGCAGCGGAGCAUGUGGUUUAAUUCGAAGCAACGCGAAGAACCUUACCUAGACUUGACAUCUCCUGAAUUACUCGUAAUAGAGGAAGUCCUUCGGGGACAGGAAGACAGGUGGUGCAUGGUUGUCGUCAGCUCGUGUCGUGAGAUGUUGGGUUAAGUCCCGCAACGAGCGCAACCCCUUUUAUUAGUUGCUACCAUUAAGUUGAGCACUCUAGUGAGACUGCCCGGGUUAACCGGGAGGAAGGUGGGGAUGACGUCAAAUCAUCAUGCCCCUUAUGUCUAGGGCUACACACGUGCUACAAUGGCUAGUACAAAGAGACGCAAACCCGUGAGGGGGAGCAAAUCUCAAAAACUAGUCCCAGUUCGGAUUGUAGGCUGAAACUCGCCUACAUGAAGCCGGAGUUGCUAGUAAUCGCGAAUCAGAAUGUCGCGGUGAAUACGUUCCCGGGCCUUGUACACACCGCCCGUCACACCAUGAGAGUUGGCAACACCCGAAGUCCGUGAGGUAACCGUAAGGAGCCAGCGGCCGAAGGUGGGGUUAAUGAUUGGGGUGAAGUCGUAACAAGGUAACCGUAAGCUUCACAAU
rnacentral:rRNA from 1 species